rnacentral:lncRNA from 2 species
UGUGCAUCCCCAUUAACGUGGGCCAUCGGAUCGCAUGCUAAGGUCGAUCUGGCCAUCCACGUGUCCCAGCCUGACUACCCUUCCACCAUCGUCGGAUCAACCCUAGCCACCUUAGCUUCCUUCCCACAGCCUCAGCCGCGCGGCUCUCUUCUCGCCCGCGCCGCCUCCCCUAGCCUCGCCCUCCUCUCCUCAAGCAUGUGGAUCCGACCGCUCGGAGCCUUGGAAGCGAGGGAGCAAGCAGUCGCCACCACCCUCUUUUCCUCUCCUUCUCCACACUUUGACCGCCCCUCUCUCCCUCUCAGGCCUGGUCAGUGUCAGAUCCGGCUUAGGGGCUGCCGGAUUUGGUAG